GAUGAACGCUGGCGGCGUGCCUAAUACAUGCAAGUCGAGCGAACAGACGAGGAGCUUGCUCCUCUGACGUUAGCGGCGGACGGGUGAGUAACACGUGGAUAACCUACCUAUAAGACUGGGAUAACUUCGGGAAACCGGAGCUAAUAUCGGAUAAUAUAUUGAACCGCAUGGUUCAAUAGUGAAAGACGGUUUUGCUGUCACUUAUAGAUGGAUCCGCGCCGCAUUAGCUAGUUGGUAAGGUAACGGCUUACCAAGGCAACGAUGCGUAGCCGACCUGAGAGGGUGAUCGGCCACACUGGAACUGAGACACGGUCCAGACUCCUACGGGAGGCAGCAGUAGGGAAUCUUCCGCAAUGGGCGAAAGCCUGACGGAGCAACGCCGCGUGAGUGAUGAAGGUCUUCGGAUCGUAAAACUCUGUUAUUAGGGAAGAACAAAUGUGGAAGUAACUAUGCACGUCUUGACGGUACCUAAUCAGAAAGCCACGGCUAACUACGUG
rnacentral:rRNA from 1 species